rnacentral:sRNA from 1 species
ACCAGGUAUGAUAGCACAUGCCUGUAAUCCCAACUACUCUGGAGGUUGAGAUAGGAGGAUGGCAAGUUUGAGAGACCCCGCUGCAAAAUAAAAUUUUAGCUAGUGCUGUGCCCUUUAAUCCCAGUGACUCAGGAGGCUGAGGCAAGAGGAUUGCCAAGUUCAAAGCCAGCCUCAGCAAUUUAUCAAGGUCCUAAGCAACUUAGCGAGACCCUGUCUCUA